GGAAUUAAGAUCAAGUUAAGAUGAAAAAUAAGAUAAGUAAUGUCUACAACAGGUUAAAUUGUAUUGAUAGUGUAAGAUUUUCAUUACAAAAGAGAUCUUUACACAAAUAACCGAUAUGUUUGACUAUCUGUUUUUUGUAGUCGGUAUAUCUAGAUUAUAUACUAAUUGUACAUGGUUAUACACAUAUAAUAACAACAAUCCAGUAUAAUCCCACUUAUGGGGUCUGGGGAGGGUAGUGUGUACGCAAACCUUACCCCUACCCUUGGGUAGAGAGGCUGUUUCCAAAUAAACCCCCGGCAUCCUUCCCUCCAAGAACUUCUCACCUUGCUCUUGGGGAGUAUCGAACUUACAACCUCUCGAUUAGACGUGGGGUUGCUUACCAUCAGAGCAUCCCCUCUUAUCUUAAAUGGUAAUACACAGAAAACAAAUAAAAUUGUUGUAAUAAGAAUCUUGAGAGGUAACUUUGUUGGUUAGUUAUUGGAUGGUGUUGGACCUGAUAGGAGUUAUCUGUCGAUGGAUAUCCGUGCUCACUACAAUCGUGAUAACUUUUUAUACUAUCAGUAUAUAAACUCUUAUAAGUAUUGUUUAGUAGAAAAAGGAAGUGGUGGAGGACUAAGAUAUAAUCUCAUUACGACCAACAAAGUUCCUUUGAAAAACUUGGCUUGUCAUGUCUGUACGAGAAUUUGUGCCAGGAUUUGAUCCGGGAGAACGAACUGGACGCCAUUGCAGAGAUGGUAAUAAAAGAUAUUUACAUGUUCAAGAAAUCUUGCUGCUUCACUUGUUUUCAUGAUUGGGGAUAUAAAAAGCAGCAAGAUUAUACAAACAGUAUGAAAAUAAUUGUUAUUUUGUCUUGCCAUGUUGAUUUAAUUUGAUGGAAAAAAAUUAGAUUGGAAUUGAAGGAAUAUAUUUGAUUUUGU
rnacentral:lncRNA from 1 species